rnacentral:rRNA from 1 species
CAGUAGCCGCGAGAAUACGAAGGGUGCAAGCGUUAAUCGGAAUUACUGGGCGUAAAGCGCGCGUAGGUGGUUUGGUAAGAUGGAUGUGAAAUCCCCGGGCUCAACCUGGGAACUGCAUCCAUAACUGCCUGACUAGAGUACGGUAGAGGGUGGUGGAAUUUCCUGUGUAGCGGUGAAAUGCGUAGAUAUAGGAAGGAACACCAGUGGCGAAGGCGACCACCUGGACUGAUACUGACACUGAGGUGCGAAAGCGUGGGGAGCAAACAGGAUUAGAUACCCCUGUAGUCCCUGUCUCUUAUAC